UAAUUGAAGAGUUUGAUCAUGGCUCAGAUUGAACGCUGGCGGCAGGCCUAACACAUGCAAGUCGAGCGGGAACUUCGGUUCUAG
rnacentral:rRNA from 1 species